AUUCCAGCUCCAGUAGCGUAUAUUAAAGUUGUUGCAGUUAAAAAGCUCGUAGUUGGAUUUCGGAACCGGCCGAUUGGUCCGUCCUCUGGAUCGUGUACUGAUCGGUCUGUUCUUCUUCGCGAAGACCGCGUGUGCCCUUAACUGGGUGGGCGCGGGAUUCGCGACGUUUACUUUGAAAAAAUUAGAGUGUUCAAAGCAGGCAGUCGCUUGAAUAUCUCAGCAUGGAAUAAUAGAAUAGGACUUUGGUCUUAUUUUGUUGGUUUCCGAGACCGAAGUAUUGAUUAAUAGGGACAGUUGGGGGCAUUCGUAUUUCAUUGUCAGAGGUGAAAUUCUUGGAUUUAUGAAAGACGAACUUCUGCGAAAGCAUUUGCCAAGGAUGUUUUCAUUG
rnacentral:rRNA from 1 species